rnacentral:rRNA from 1 species
CCCUUAGAUGUUCUGGGCCGCACGCGCGCUACACUGAUGCAUUCAACAAGUUCUACCUUGGCCGAGAGGCCUGGGAAAUCUUUCAAAUAUGUAUCGUGAUAGGGAUAGAUUAUUGCAAUUAUUAAUCUUGAACGAGGAAUUCCUAGUAAAUGCAGAUCAUCAUUCUGCGUUGAUUACGUCCCUGCCCUUUGUACACACCGCCCGUCGCACCUACCGAUUGAAUGAUCCGGUGAAGCCUCGGGAUUGUGCCCAGAGAACUUUAUUGUGAUUUGGGUGUGAGAACUUGUCUAAACCUUAUCAUCUAGAGGAAGGUGAAGUCGUAACA